rnacentral:tRNA from 1 species
GUAAAUAUAGUUUAACUAAAACGUUAGAUUGUGAUUCUAAUAAUAGGGAUUAAACCUCUCUUAUUCACC